AUUGAACGCUAGCGGGAUGCCUUACACAUGCAAGUCGAACGGCAGCACGGACUUCGGUCUGGUGGCGAGUGGCGAACGGGUGAGUAAUGUAUCGGAACGUGCCUAGUAGCGGGGGAUAACUACGCGAAAGCGUAGCUAAUACCGCAUACGCCCUACGGGGGAAAGCAGGGGAUCGCAAGACCUUGCACUAUUAGAGCGGCCGAUAUCGGAUUAGCUAGUUGGUGGGGUAACGGCUCACCAAGGCGACGAUCCGUAGCUGGUUUGAGAGGACGACCAGCCACACUGGGACUGAGACACGGCCCAGACUCCUACGGGAGGCAGCAGUGGGAAUUUUGGACAAUGGGGGAAACCCUGAUCCAGCCAUCCCGCGUGUGCGAUGAAGGCCUUCGGGUUGUAAAGCACUUUUGGCAGGAAAGAAACGUCAUGGGUUAAUACCCCGUGAAACUGACGGUACCUGCAGAAUAAGCACCGGCUAACUACGUGCCAGCAGCCGCGGUAAU
rnacentral:rRNA from 1 species